AGAGGCUGGCCGUGAUGAAUUCGAUUCAUCUAAACGAGUCAUACACGGCUCUCCUCUCU
rnacentral:pre_miRNA from 2 species